rnacentral:lncRNA from 1 species
UGGAGGCUUUGAUCUCAUUUUUACAGCUUUAUAGUUUAAAUAUUGAUGCAUCAUUCAAUUUGCAGUACGUAAUAUUUUGUCUAUGAUGGUAGCAGCUUGACAAAUCUAUUGUUUUGUUUGAUUCAACUAAAACAUGCAAUGAUGAUCAGCAGAUGAAAACAGAGGGAAGGAGGCAGCUCACAUAGUUCCAGCAAUUCUAGUGCUAAUAUGGGUGUUUUCCCCUUCAUCAAACUUGGCCAAACCGAAGUCGGAGAUCUUAGCAUUGAGAUUGCUAUCAAGUAGCACAUUGGUAGUUUUGAUGUCUCGAUGUACAAUUGUUAAACUCGAUUCUUCGUGCAGGAAAGCUAGACCUUUUGCUAUGUCAAGACAAAUUUUCUGCCUACUAGGCCAGUCCAAUAUCAGCUGGCUUUCUUGAGGACCUGCUCAUUGACACAGGCCAAUCCAGUGAAAUUCAAUUCAUCAAACAAUUGUCGGUACAGAGUGUUGAGAUCUUUUCUCUCUUUAACUUUUAUAAAAUCAAUAUCAACAUUUUCUUUGCUUGUGGGGACAUGGAAGCGUCCAAACGAGGAAAAGAACACUCGCUCAAUGUGGUUCCAAUCACAGAACCAUCAAAGAAAGGGGGAAUAAAAGAGGUUUAGGACAUUAAGCUUACCGAAUAAAGCAUGUGCAAGGCUAUUAUUUUCCAUGUAUUCAUAUACCAAUAACAGCUGAGUUCCCUCAACGCAACAUCCAUACAAUCUAACAACAUUCGGGUGUUGUAAUCCUGAAAUCAUGCCUAGUUCAUUCAGAAAUUCUCUGUCUCCUUGUCUUGAUUGUGAAGAAAGUUUUUUAAUCGCAAUUAUGGUGCCAUCAAGCAAUACACCCUACAGCAGAGGUAUAACAUAUAAUUUUUGUUAUAUAUUUCAUCACAUAACCCAUACUCCGAAACAUCAUAAAUUCAGUAAACAAAAAGCACGUUAUGCAGGUACCUUGUAGACAGCUCCAAAACCACCUUUUCCAAUUUUAUUUGCAGCGUCAAAGUUGUUCGUGGCAGCUUUCAUUUGUAUAAAGGUAAAAAAGCCAGUCUGCAGAUCUAACCCCCUCAAGACUUGGAAAAGAUUGAGGGAACCAAUUGAAUUACACAUUCAAUAAGCUUGAAAAACAUGCAUACGUUCAAAUAGAUCAUCCUAGAGAAAUUAUCUUGAAGUAUAAAAUUGUAGAUUCAGAUUUGUUAGAUUACCUUGUUCCCUUGAUGGCUUGGGUCGAAAAUAGCCUUUCCACCAUAGAAUACCUAAGAUUACCAAAAUCAGGCACAGAACAGAAACAACAGCUCCCACUACAAACUUCAAAUUCUUUUCCCAUGCAUUGAGAACUCGAGGCUUGUGAUCUACCAACAAAAGGGAAGAAAAGGUACAAACCGUUAUUCUCAAACUGCAUCUCCUGAAGUAACACUGCAUGUGCAUAUCAUAUGGCUGUAAAUAUGUUUACUUAUCUGAAAAUAUAAGUACUUAAGACGGUAUCGGAUGCUUAAAAUUUCCUUUUGAGAAAAUGUAGGCACAUAAAGUGGGUCUUAUGUUGCUGUGUCAGUUUACAGUAAAGUUCUACUAGAUUCAGCUACCAAGAAUCUAUACCAUGCAGACAAUAGUUUAAGGGCAACUCCAUUAUUGCUUCACGUCAUGUACAUGUUAAUCCACUUUGAAUUAAACAAAUUUGACAAUUAAGAAAAGAAAAUCCCAAAUAUAAAUGGGAGAUUGAUUAAGCACAUGAGAAGAACGAAUGGCUAUUUUAAUUAUAGAUCUUACCGGAGUCUACUGAGAUAGCUGAUAUCAAGGGACCAUAUGUUCCUCUUCUUGGGAUUGCAGUUGUCCCCUUCCCAGCCCAGUGAAAGCGUAUUGUCAAAGUUUUGUUCCUCACAACUGUUUUAAAUUUCCUUAUGACUGCUUUAUCGACCCCCUUUGCCUCAUUUUUAAUAUUCAAAUCUUUCAAUUCAAGUUUCUCCUGCAACAAGCUUAUUCGAUCAAUCUGGCUUCAAUAACAUGCAAAUUACACUACAUAUUAACAUGAACUACCUGUACAUAAACAUCAAAUAUCCUCCUUCCAAGACUUUGAUAGGAUCUAUUGUCUCUGAUAACUAUCUCUGCAAAGUGAAGUGUAACCGUAUAAUUUCCAUUUGCUAAGCAACGGAAGUAAUAAGUGCGAGAAAGAGGAGAAAGGCGUGCUCUUGUGUAUAAUUCAGAGUUGUUUGUUCUGAGAACAGAAAAAUUUUGAGCUAAAAAGUCCAUUGAAGUAGGAGUGGUAUCCCAGAAAAGCCCAGUGCUACAAGUUUCCCAAGUCUCUUUGAGUGGAACAUAUUUUGCUCGACCUCCUAAGUCUUCAUCUGCCUCAUAGUCGACUCCAUUAAUAGUUGUUGCUCCUCCACCACAAUUUAUAUUUACUGAAUGCCAAUCUAUAAAGAAUGAAAAAAAAACAUUGCAUGUUGAGUAUGAGAAAACCUUACUUGAAACAUGUUUCUAGAGUCUAUAGAUUUGCAUUUUAAUGCGAAGGAAUUACCUUUCGAACAAGGAAAGUUCUUCAGGCAGUUAUCCGAUCCUCUACAUCACUGUAGUAUGAAAAAGAAGCAUCAGUCUUGUUAAAGAGUGAUCAAAAGGAAAAUAAAAUAAAAUAAACAAAAUGCCUGGUAACAUUUUUGCGCAAUAAGAUACAAACUUACAAGUCUUUUCCUCCUGCAAAGCUUUCGAAAAAAUUUCUGAUGAAGAAAUAGACCAACCAGGUUAACAAUUCGACACUUCUUACAAAAAAUUGGAAAAGUGAUACGUACACAACAUAGGAAGUCAAGUUAAGAGGAUGUUUUUCUUACAGAUUUUCCCGAUAAGGAGGCGACUGAAGGCUUUCAGAAAAAUUGUUAUAAGAAAGAUCGACCUGGCUGCAAAAAUUGUAUAAUAUAUUAUAAACAACUAGAAUUGAAAUAUUAAGGUACAUUAAUUUUGAGUAAAACUAACAAUAUUAUAACCAGCAUAAGUUACCAAGAAUGGUACUUUUGAGCAACUAAAAAAUGGAUAAUUUGGGUUAUUUUUGCAUUGUUUGAAGAGAAAUAGGUAGUUUGGAAGUGUAUCCUUAAGAUUGUCAAAAAUGAAAAUCCUGAAGUGAUUGUAAACAACUUAAGAACUAUGAAUAUUCUUUGUAGAGUUGAGUUAACAAAAUGCAGAAAAUAAACGGAUAAUCAUGGCUAAGAAAUAUAAACACCAACACCAACACCACCACCACCACCAACAACAACAACAAUAAUAAUAAUAAUAAGGGAGGAUAGUAGACAUACUAGCGGCUAUCUCUAAUACUCAUCCAAUCUGGAAUGCGCCCAGUAAGCGAGUUUUUGUCAGGUACCUAAUCAGUAAGGAGCACACCACAGUUAAGCACUUCUGCUGGAACUAUAUUGGAAGGAUUUAAUUGGAACUUAGAAGUGAAGUAAGUUCAAGCAAAUUUAGAACUUAUAUGAGGAUAUUAAUGCAUGCAGACUUGUUCUUUCCUUCCUGAUUCUGAAGUUGUAAAAGUAUCAGUAAGCUAGUUUUAUUUUGAUCUUAUCCAUGAUUUUCCAAAAUGUGCAUUGUUCAUAUAAAAUAAACAAAUGAAAGUGUUCUCUAUUACCUAAGAAAAAAGUUCUAAUAAACUUGGAACUUUUGAUGAACUAAUGAUAAGAACAAAAACACUACCUAGAUUGAGUAUUAUUUCUACAGCAUGCUAUGCAUAGGGAUCUUCAUAUUGGUUAAUCUGGGUUUGGGUGAGUACAUCUCAAGAAUUCAUCGCACUUACAUGUACUGUGUUUUUGUAAGGCUUUCAGAAUCUGAAACGCUACCUUCCAAAUUAUUGAAGCUGAGAUCUCUGGAAGAAAUAGACAAAUCAACUAUUUCACAGUUAUAAAAAUAUAAAAUUUUAAAUGAUAGGUUAAUUGAAAUGUGAAAUCCAAAUAUAUAGAUGAGUCAAUUUAUGAAGAAUGAAUUCAUGAAAACAAGCAAACAUAUCAGAUUUUUAAGUUCUCAAGAUGCUGACCAUCGCAGAUUCAUGUACAUUAUUCUAAAUGUUCUUUAAAAAAGAUUGAAGUAUGAAAAAUUUAUUAAACCCACAAAAUAGUAUGUCCAGCACAGAGAUAAAUACUGAAAAUUGAGGUGAAAUAAGAAUAGCUGAAUUACAAAAUUUGCAGUCGCGAAAAUUCCCAUACAUAAUCUGGGAUUGGUCCAGAUAUAUUGCAGCCACCUAACAUCCUGCAGUACGAGUCCCUAUCAUGUGAGCACAAUUAUAGCAAAUGGAUGAUCAAUGAAGAAUUUUGAAAGCCUGUGGAUGACUUACAGCCUGUACAUGUUGUUCAUAUUUUUUAAGUUAGGAAACUUUGAUCCCUCUCCAGGCAGGUCACUGAUCCUUCUGAAUUAUAUUGCAACAUAAAAAAAAAUGUUAAAAAUGACCCUCAAUGCAGCAAUUUUAGUAUCUGAAUUGGAAUGGAACCAGAUUAUGUUAAUAGAAAUUAAGGGCUACAAAAUUUAGAGGGAUAAGACACACAAACUCACAGUUCCACUAAGUUAUGCAAGAGUGCUAAGCUUGAAGGAAUUGGCCCUUCAUAACCACUAGCUUGAAUCUCUCUGUCAGUAAAGGAAUUCAAAUUUAUGAUGUAAUCAUCACCAAAAUUUUCGAUGAAGAUCUAUAGAGACAAAAAGGCGUUUACAAUUUCUCAAGUUGCUUCCAACUUCGAAAAAUGUCGGGCAUCUUUCCAGUGAAAUUGUUACUGCUAAUCCUACUGUAUAAACCUCACAUAAAAGCAGGGGUAGUAAACAAAUCUAGCUUUAUUAACAGUAAACUCUAGAUAGUGCUUAAAACACUUACAGUUCUUUUAGGUUGGAGAGAUUAGCAAGGGACGAGGGAAACUUUCCGGUAAGAUAGUUAGCAUUAAGAAUACUGCAUUCAGGAAAGAGGCAAAAUCAAGCCAACCAUACUAUACUAAAUAUUUGUGGGAGAGAGUAGAGUGGUAAAUCAUGCAUGGAUAUCUAACAGGGAAAGAAGCCUAACAGGUUUUCCAGGUUAACCAAUCUCCCAAAUUCAGGAGGAAUCGUUCCAGAAAACAGGUUGUUCUCGAUGCUCCUGAAAGUACAACACAAAUAAGAAACCAGAUCUUGCUUUUAAAGAAAGAAGGAAAGAGAUAAUACACAAGAAAACAUCGGCAACCGAGGCAUACAGAAAUUUUAGAGUGGUUAUGUUCCCUAAAUAGCUUGGAAUUGGCCCUGAUAAGCGGUUCAUGGGAAGUGCCCUGAAAUGUAUUCGUUCUUAUCAGUUGAAUGAAAAUAAGAUUCUUCUGAACAGGAUAAAACAUGAAGUGGUCUAGUAGCUUACUCCGUCUCCAACUUUAGAGCAGCCCAUUCAUGUGGUAUUGUACCCUUAAGAUAGUUCUUAUAGAGAUGUCUAAAAGCAACACAGACAAAAAAAAAAAAACAAUUUUAAAAUGGAUAGAAGGUCAGUUCCUAGUUAAAGAGUAAAAUCAUCAAUUGUAACCUUCUUCUUACAAUGUCUUAAUAUAUGAUAGCUUCCCAAGUGAGCGUGGAAGAACGCCAUCAAGAUCCUGCCCUACAAGAUAGCUUUUUUCCGAUGGAUACAAAGCUUUUCAGAAGCAUGUUCAUUUCAAAAUUUCCAAAAAUAUGUUUGUCUAAUAAAUAAAAUGGCAGCAUUCAUAUUCUAUAAUUACUUAAAUGAUUAGUUGGGAUAAAUUUGUAUUCGUAUUUGAAGCUAUAGCCAUACAGUAAUUUAUCUUGAAUGAGUUAUUUGCCUAUGGGGAAUUCAAGCAAAUCACUGUUAUAGAAAUGAAGGCUAAUAUAAUGAAAAGAAAGAAUGAAAGAAAGAGGACUAGGUCUAUGGUUAAGAAAUUAGAAAAAACAUCAAUUUUCUUAUCACCGUUAAGGACAUACAUGCCAUCAAUAUGACAUUCACCAUUGGUGAAGGAGCAAUUGCAGGUGACAGUACUGUUGUUGACGGUACGAGAGCCAUGUAGCGGCGGUGGAGUAAACCAGCUUGACUUAUUGUUGCAAGGAUUCUCACUGAAAUUCCAAUCCUUCUUUCCAAGUUCUGCCGCUAUCUCACGAAGAGCUUUUACUGCAAAACCAGAAAGGAAAAGGAAAAAAAAGAAAAGAAAAAAAAGCCGUUGGAGGAAGCUGAGUUGGAUUGAAACACAUUUACAUGAAAAUCACCGGAGUAAUAUUUUGGGGUGAGUUCUUAAGACAUAUAUACGCAAACGAAUCAAACCUGCAAUAUACCGUUUAAUGCAGAUUACUUAAGAACCAAUAAAAGAGAAAACUGCCAAAACAUGAAAUGAAAUCUUAAGAACCAAUGCUUAUCUUUAACACAAACUGAGGCAAGAAAGAGAUUGCAAGACGGUACUGAAUUACCUUCAUACCGGGGAGGAUAAGGCGGUUCCACUUGGGCUUCAACUUGGUUUGGUUCCAUGCAAAUGAGCACCAAGAGGACAGUAACAAUGAUGUACCCAAAGAGUAUCUUCACGGUUGAAGGACACUGAGCAACUCUUCCCAUGUUCUUUCUUCGUCAAAUGAAGCAAUCUUAUUUCACUUAAACAUUUUGAUGCUGCUACGGAUCUUUAACUUACCAACUUUUGAAUUGCAUGAGAAAAAUAAAUACCAAUACUAACACAUUGAUGGUUUUAAUGAUGGUUCAGCUGACUUUCCUUUAUCAAUUUACUUAUUUACAUUUUAUAAAAAAAUCAAAAAAAAAAUGGAAUGGAGGUUUAUAGUAACAAAAUGAAGUCAUUGUUUACUGUUUUCGAUUGAGAAAUUUGUGCCAACACUCAACUAGUGAAUUUGAAAAAAAGAAAAGAAGCAAAUGUCACAUGGCUACCAGUUUUUGAAUUGUCCAGUAGUUGCAAAGGAUCUGGAAAUAAUACAAAUAAAAUGAAAAGCAUCAGAUAUAAAAUCUACUACUUCAUUUAAGACAAAAGGUAGUCCAAAGAUUAAGUUGGCUAUUUUGACAAGAUACAGUUUAGACAUUAUUAUAUGGUAAUGUUAAAAAGUUUUUAGAAAGUGCAUUAGGAUAUAAUUGAGGAAUUUGCUGUCCUAAUACGUACAGGAUAUCGGAGUUAAAAGCAGACAGAGAUCUUUUAUUUUUAUUUUUGCCAAUCAUGAGAGUUUUUUUGUUAUUGAUAUUCGAAGUAAGUUUUCUUUUCCAUCAUGACAUGCUUUUAUUAUGAGUAAGUCUAACUCCUCUCCCUCAAUAUAUAUUUUUAGGCGAGACAGUUGACUUGGUGAAUUUUUUUUAAAUAAUAAUUACCUGACGGGGAAAUUGUAAUGUAGCUUCGCAAAGAUAACUUUUGGUUUGUCGGGGUUAUCGGUCACUUGGAGAAAAAAUUCUAUGUGCAGGUUUGGGCUUUUUGAAUUGGAGGGUCAUACAUUUCUUAAUUAGUACUUAUCAUUUGUACCACGAUAAGUAAAAAGUAUACUUAAAAAUAUUUUAAUGGAUAUUGAAACGAUACAAGAAUUAAGAAAAUUAGAUUCCAUAUGAGAAUGAAAAAUACUUUUAAAAAUAGUUAUAUUUUUCGAAUGAUUAUUUUUAAUAUAAAUUAUUAUUUUAGUGGGUAACUUUUUUAGAAGAGUAAAAUAUAAAUGUAUCUUACUUUAAUAAGUGUAUUAUAAGUAAAUUGUAGUAUUGAUGCUAUUGAUAUUAAACUUAAUUUAUUGAUGAUUAUAUUCAUAAUUUAUUUCCAAAUAAAUUACACUGUCUCACAACUAAGAAAGUGGGCAAAGAAACUCAGAUUUAUUACUUUUUGAGCAAGUCUUUCUACUAUGGAGAGUGUGAGAAUAUAGAUCAUCUCUUCCAAGAAUGCAAUUUUGCAAGAGCGGUGUGGAUCGAUUCCUUCACAGGAAUCCAAACAUGUUGUCUAAACACUAACUCAAUUCACGAGUGAAUUUGUGCGAUCCUAAAGCAAUUGAGUUAAUGAAUGGCAAGCAAUUGAGAGACAUUCACAAGUUUUGUCAUUAUCUUAUGAAGCUUUGAGAUCUUGUUUAAAGGAGGCUCCUCAAACUCGAUCACAGUCAUUAAAUUUGCCACUGAGCUAGCUCAUCACACUAUCAUGGCAUACUCAAGCUGGAACACCCCAAAGGUAAGGAAAUAUAAGAAAUCUCUAGUCCUAGCAAACUCCGAACCAACCACAUACUACUACAUUUUCCUCAAACGGGAGAGGAGGAAUUCAGAGGUGAGUGGGGUUAUCAUUAUUAAAACCCAUGAUCUUAUAACAUAGAACAUUGAGGGUUGUUCGUGAAAGUUCGUCAAAAUUUCAAUUAGGAACACAAAAUUACGUGCAAACUUUGUCUCACAAUUAAGAAACUGUAUAUGUUAGAGUUGUAUAACUCAAAUUUUAAGAGAUUAUUUACAAGUCAAGUUAAACAAAGUAUAUCUUCUUUCUAGAAGAUUUAGUAUUUAUGAGUAUAAUAUAUUUAACAUUUAUUAACAUAAUAUAUUUGACUUUGAUUAGAAUUAAGUUUUUUCAACCUAUAAAUAGAUAUAGUUGAAACUACUUUUAAAAUCAUUCGAAUUCGACAUAGUGGUAAUAAAGUAAUAAUAAAAUUUUAUAGAAUAAAGUGAGUCCCCACUCUUUAUUGUAAAGGAGAAGAAUUAAUUAUCACAUGUCCACUAGUUAAGGAUUUGGAAAAAUAAUAAAUAGAAAUAGAAUUGAGAUCUCAACUAUAUUAAAUUUAUGAUUUGCUAUUGACCCUAGCUGACCCAGUCAUUAAAAACAAGACCCCAGUCAUUAAAAACAAUACCCUCCCCGAAUUCAUUGAAACCAAAGUAUUUGAGUAACGUCGAUACAUAUUAUUAAAUAACUAAUCAAUUUUAAAUUAAGAUUCUCGAAUAUUUGAAAGGAGUUAACAAAAUUAUUAAUAAUUUUUUUAUCAUAUCAUGCAUGAUCCUAUUUAAUAAUAUAAUUUCACGUGGAAGAAUUUUCCAUGCUACUUACCUUUCUCUUUUAAUUACUCAUUCCUAGUUUUUUUUUUUCAAUUCUUUAACUAAUAGUUGAAAGCAUCAUUUAUGAUUCUUCAAUAAUGUUUAUAUACAUUGAAACUAUUUCGAAUAUCAUUAUUGUAGUUUAAAUUAGAAUGUUUUAGAAUUAAUUCUUAAUUUGAUAUAAAGCAUCAAAAGAUACUAAACUAUUUUUCAUUAAUGUUCUUUAGCGUAUACCCACCUGACCAGUUUUUCGCUAAGGCUGGUCUUGAAAAUGGAAACCCAUACAUUAUAAAGUGACCCACUUUAUAUAUGCCGCUUCAAGUUCUAUUGAAGUAGCAUAUUUUGGAUAUGCGGAUGAAAGGAAACUGUUUUGGGAAGGAGGGGUAUUGUAAUGGCCCAAAUUCAAGGUUAUCGGAAUAGUAGUUUCGUAACCACAAAUCCGAUUUAAAGAAAAUUUUAUUUUAAUAUUUUUGCAUGAAUAUUGAUAUGAUAGGAAAAUCGUAUGAAAAUAUUGAUAGAAAAAUUUUACCGAUUUAGUAGUUAGUUAGAAAAAGAAAUUAUUGAAGAAAUUGUUGAAGAAAUUGGGUAAAAAUAAGGUAUCGAGACCUCAAUCUCGUAAAACCGAGUCAAAAUAUUUUUAUAAAUAUUUAUGAAGUGUUAUUAAUAUGGUAUUAAAAUUUCGUUAGAAAAUUUUAAUGUUUGGGUAGUCAAUUAAGUGAAAAGGACUAAAUUGAAAAAGGUGUAAAAGUUACUAGAAUGAUUAAAUAGCUCAAUUGUUAAAUGAAGAGGGACAUAAAUUGAAAAUAAGCCCAAAAGAAAAUAUUUUGGGCGGCAUACGCUGAGAAAAAUCAGGAGAAUUGAAGAAUUAAUGGUAAAAUUGGAAUAUUGCAAAAUUUACUUUAAAAGUUAGGACUAAAGUGGAAUUAUCUAGAUUCCUAUUUAUUUUUCUGCAUUCCCAUCAGCCAAAAACGUCCUAAGGGUUUAUUCAAGCUGGUUUUUCAUAAUUUUUGCACCAAGUGAGUUAAUCCUUGCAUUUUUCUUGUAAUUUUUGUGUUUCUAAGACUUUUACAACUAGGUCCUAUUACUAAAUUCAUUAGUUUUUGAUUUUAUGAACGAAUUUGAAAGUUUCUAUGAAUAUAUGCUGGAAGUUUAUGAUGAAAUAGGAUGAAAUUGAAACUUUAAUUUGUUUAUGAGAUUAUUUUAUUAGGUAAUUUCAAUAGAAAUUGAUUUGUAGGACUUAAUUGUAAAAAAGUUUGGAAUUAAAGUCUGGUGCUGAAAUUUUGAUUUCCAAAGCUUAUAAAGUAGUUUAAAGUGAUGGGAUAAAGUGUUAAUUGAGAAAAAUCAGCUCAAUUGAGAGGUCAAUUGAGCAAUGAUGAAAUUAUCAUUUAUUGAAAAGUUUAGGGAAAAAUGGUAAUUAACAUCAUACACUAAAACAGCUUUGGACAGCGGCAGUACUCUAACUUUGAAAAAUCACCAAAAAUUGUAGAGAUUGAAUUAGAGGAUGAAUAAAGUAUGAAAUUAAAUCUUAUUGAGUAUAAUUUCUUAUAAAAGAAAUGAUAUAAGCAAUGGAAUUGUAAAUCAUGAGAUAUAAUAGAUUUUGUGAGACAAUGUCAGAAUGAAUUCGGGUUCCCCUGUUCUGAAUUUUGAAAAUCAUUAAAAAUUGUAAAAAAAUUAUUAUGAGUUAUAAUUUAUAUGGUUAGAAUUCUAAAUGAGUCUAUUUUCAGAAAAAAUAAAUGGAAACAUCAUCUGAAUUCUGUACAAUGAGAUAAUUAAUUUUUAGUGAAGAAAAGUCGGAACUGUCAAACAGUGAAACAGGGGAACUUUAAAGAAUAAACUGUACUUAUUCGCUAAACCAAAAAUUCUGAAAUUUUUAUGGUAAGAAGAAAAUUGAGUCUAGUUUCAGUGAAAAUUAACGGAUCUUAAUUUGGAGUUCCGUAGCUCAAUAUAUAAAUAAUUUAGCGACUGUGACUCAAUGAGACAGCUUUGAAUGCACUAUAAAUAAUAAUGGAAUUAUAGAGAAUAUUACAUAUGAACAUGAAAAGUAUGAGAUUAAUGAUUAAAUUUAUUUAUUUAGAUCCAGAAAAUUUAAAUACAAAGCUAGAUCGAGGAAAAGAAAAAGUUCGGGAUUAUUAGAUUUUUGGUUACGAACAAGUGUCGAGGUAAGUUCGUGUAACUUGAAUUAUAUUCUUAAAUGCUUGAAAUGUUUGUCGAAACCGUUUUUUUGAAAACAAAAAUUUAGUUGUUGACUUUAAAAACAAAAACUGGAGUCGCCACCGAUCUUUUAUUAAGGUGUGAUCGGCUUACCUUAAAAAUUAUUUUGGUCUACGUUUUUUUGAGAAAACGAGUUCGGGAGUCAGUUACGCACGAGGAAGGAUUAGCACCCUCGUAACGCCCAAAAAUCAGUACCAAUUUGACUAUUUGAUGUCUUAGUGUCGAAAGUUAAAAAGAUUUUAGGAUAAGCUUGAAUGAUGAAAUUUGCAAAAGGAUAACCAAUUGUUCAAGUCAUGUAAAGAAAUCGAGUCCCAAUACGUUAGGGUACAAUCCCUCAUAAUCCCCGAACUUUGAAUAUCACUUUUAUUUUAUGCGAAAAUCUUCAUUUUGAGAAAGUAACAGGUCACACCCAAUACGUUAGGGCACGACAAGUUAAGUUCCUAAAAAUGAUUUUUAUGCUCAUGCAUUUUGAAUAAAGAAUAUCAUCGGUUAUUUAAGAUCAUCAAAGAAAAUCAGAACCCAAUACGUUAGGGCUCAAUUUCCCUCGAAAAUCCCAAACUCCGAAUAUUGCUUUUAUUCAAAAAAAAAAGGUUUUGAAUCAAGAAAAUAACUUUGAUGUAUAGUUAAAGCCAAAAUAUAUUUUCAAAAGGGUAUGUUAAAAAGUUAAUGUACAAUAUGAUACAAAUAUUUUAAUUUACAACAUAUACGAAUAAAUAUUUACAAAUACAUAUAUACAAAUACAAUAUAACAGUAAAGUCGCAAACAUAUGUACACAUAUAUCUAAAACACAUAUACAAGUAUACAUGCAAAUAGAAGGAAUGAAAUAUAUCCAAUAAAGCAAACAAAAAAUGUAUUAAAAAUAAAAUAAAAGUAUAAAAAAACGCAUAUGCAUAUAUUUACAGAAAGAAAAAAAAAAGGUAUACGUAUAUGUAUAUAUUUAAAUAUUUAUAUAUGUACAAUAUGUAUUCAAGUAAUGGAAUAUAUAUAGAAUAAUGAAAAAUGUUUUAGAAAAAAAAUGUAAAUAUAUAUGCUGUAAAAAUAAAUGUAUAUUUUUAAAUUAUAAUAUAUAGGAAAUAUAUGUAUAUUCAAAAAUGUACAUGUAUAUUUCUAUAUAUAUUUGUAAAAAAAAGUGAAGAAUAAUAUAUGAAAAUAAAAAUAUAUGGUAAUAUACAUAAAUACUAUUUGCAAAAGUAAAAAAAAAUAUAAGAGCAUACGUAUAUCAAAAUUUGCUUGUAUGCAUAAAAAAAGUUUAAAAUAUUCAUAUACUAUAAAAACAUAUAUAUAUUAAAGAAGCAUGCAUGUGUAUACUAUAAGAAUACGUGUAUAAAUAAUGAUAAUAAUAACAAUUUAAAAAAACAAAUUGAAAAGAGAAAAGAAAAAAAUGUAAUUAAAAUAAAAUGAAGGACUAAAUGGCGAUGCGCGCAUUCCCUGAGGGGGCUAAAAUGAAAAUAACCCGUCUCCCUGAAACGGUGCGCAACAAUGGGCCAUAUUGAAACAAAAAAUAAAACACAGAGUUAAAAUUAUAAAUAUGAAAAGGACUGCAUUAAAAACGACUAGAGAGCAGAGGGACCAAGGAGAUAAAUAUCCCCCCUAGCGAAAACACGCGGGUUACCAAGCGGGUCGGGUCACACAUGCGGGUUUUGGCCCUAUACGACGUCGUUUUGAGGCCAUUGAAGCAGGCCCUAAACGACGUCGUUUCAUAACCCUUAUAAAUGCCAAAUUUUCCUUAAAAAAUUUCAUUUUCCUCUUUGAUUCAAAAAAAAAAUAACAGAGAAGCUCUUCUAGGGUUCCUCCUUUAUGCCGCCGCCGCCAAUCGAGGCAUGCCACGGUCGCCCCGGUCUCCGAUCGCGACGGAGAGGGGCGCCAACUUAGCGAUUCCGACGAAAAUAGGUAUGUUCGUCCCUUUUCUUUAUAUUUUAAACAAAAAUAAAUAAAAAGAAAAAGAAACUCUAUAGAAAAAAAAGAUAUAUGUAUAUAUGAAACAAGAUAAAAGAAUGAUAAUCUCAAUGAGGUGAAAACCAGAGAGAAAGAAAACCUUUGUCUUUCAAAAAGAAAAAACUAUUUGCCUUUGAAUUUCUUUUGGUAUUUCCUCCCCCUCCCCGUUUUACAGAUUACAAAUGGCUUUUUAAAUAACCGAAAAUGGGAAAGAAAAAAUGAAAACCAAAAAAUCUAUUCGGUUGGCUCGAUUUUUGCUCCUCUCCUUCGCUUGUUGUAGGUACGUGCGUGCGCGAGAUUCACGGCGGCGAGGGGCGUGAUGCGCGGGGGAGUUGGCUCCGAAACAUGCGUCGAUUGGAGUUGUCGGAGGUGGAGCACGUCGUGGGGGCUUGCUGUAAUAGCCUGAAUUUUUAGUGGUGUCGGAAUGGUGAUUCGAGAUCACUAAAUCUGACAAACGAGUAGAAAAUAUUAUAAAUUUAGUAAGUAUAAGUUAAAUGUGAAGUUAGGAAAAUUUUUGAAAUAGUGAAUAGUGUACUAGGAAUAAAUAUUAAAAUAAUUAAAAUAAAAAAAAUGAGGUAUCGAGACCUCGAAGAUUUUAAACCGAGCCAUAAAUAUUUUUAGAAAUAUUUAUAGAGUGUCAUUGAGUUGGUAUUAAAGUUUCGUUAGAAAAUUUUAACGUUUGGAUAGUUAAUUAACUAAAAAGGACUAAAUUGGGAAUAGUGUAAAAUUUGUUAAAUUGUGAUUAAAUAGCUUAAGUGACUAAAGUGGAGGGAUUUAAAAGGCUAUUAGGCCCAAAUUAUAUGGGCUGGACGGUUGGGUAAGAAAAAUCAGCAGAAUGUAAGGAGAAACAGGGGCAAAAUUGGAAACUUAACAAAUUAAACAUUUAAAACAAAGACAAAAGUGAAAAAUCUAGAGAUCUCUUCACAAUUUAUCAGCAAAAACGAAAUAGGAGGUCUGGAAUAAGCUGGUUUUUCAUAUUUUUGAAUCAUGUAAGUUUAAUUCUUGAUUAUUUCUUCUAAUUUUUGUGAUUUUGAUACUUUUACAAUUAGGUCCAACUAAUUAUUUCAUUAGUUUUUAAUUCCAUGGCUGAUUUUGAAAGUUACCAUUGAUGAGUGUUGGAUUUUUAUGAUGAAUAAACAUGGAAUUGAAGCUUUAAUUUUGUUAUAUGAUGAUUUUAUUAAGUAAUUUUGAUAGAAAUUGAUUUUAGGGACCUAAUUGUGAAAAAGUUGGGAAUUAAGGUUUGGUGUUGCGGUUUUGAGUAUGAAAGGCUAUGUAGUAGUCUAAAAUAGUUGGAAAAGGUGUUAAUUGAGAAAAAUUAGAUCAAUUGAGGGGUUAAUUGAGUAGGGAUCAAAUUGUAAAAACUGUAAAGUUUGGGGUAAAAGUGUAACUUCGAAAAUUAAAGGGCAUAAAUUGUGAAAUGAAUUAGAAUUGAAUUAAAUGCUGAUGAAUGAAUAAAUUUGCAUUUUAGAUCGAGAACCCGAAACAAGUCGAGGAAAAGAAAAAGUAGCCGAUUAGUCCCUGAACUUUUAUAAAUUCUGCAAAUCGAUCCAGGUAAGUUCAUAUGGCUGAAAUUUAAUGAUUAAAUGUUAAUUUCAUGAAUUAUACAAUGUAUGGUGAAAUGUAUUUAUUGUUGAAAUGAGAAUAAAAUAAAAAUGUGAAAAUCGAAUAAAUGAUCAAAUUAAGUGGAACGUCGAAUUGGAGUACUUCUGAUCAAGUGACAAAGUGAUAAGUGGUAGUUUUAGCUACACUUAUCUGAUUAAGAAACAAAGUGAUAAGUGGUUACACUUAUCUGAUCAAGAAACAAAGUGAUAAGUGGUUACACUUAUCUGAUCAAGAAACAAAGUGAUAAGUGGCUACACUUAUCUGAUCAAGUGGUAAAGUGAUAAGUGGUAGCCUAGCUACACUUAUCUGAUCAAGGACAAGUGAUAAGAGGUCAUAUGGCAAAGUGAAAGUGAAGUACUCAAAUUUCCAUAACCGUUCCUUAAUUUUGAUCAAGAAUGGUAAGUGACAAAUGGGCCCAAAGGAAUUAUGGUAAAAGAAUAAGUAGUAGUGAGUUUAUACCAAGGAACUCACCAAAGAUUGUGGUUGACAGGUAAAUUUAGUAAUGGUGUAUAUUGUAUAAGUGUGCAAGUGUUUGGUAAGAUUUAUGUUUUAUGCCUAUGAACUUACUAAGCUUUUCUAUAAGCUUACAUAUGUGUGUUUAUUGUUUUUGUAGAUUAACGUAUUUAUACAUUCGGAGGAUCGGAUCUACAUCAAGAAUCACACUAUCCAGAUAUACUCCGGUAGUUUAUGUUAAGCAACUUUUUUGAUUUAUAUGGCGUGUAUAGGGAAUUGAAGUAAAAGUAAAUUUGAAUGUUAUGGUUGCGUUAGAUAUCGAAAUAUAUACAUGUUUUUAGUUUGAAAUGGUUGAUUGGUUGAACUUAAUUAGUAUUUAAAUGAAGUAAAUGAAAUACUGGAAUUGGUUGUGAUUUGAAAUUCGCAGGGAAGGUUAGACAAUUAUAAAUGAGUUAUAUUGAAUUUUUUUUAAAAAAAUUGCAAUGGAGCAGUUCUUGGACAGCAGCAUUGAUGUAACUUUUAAAAAUCACCAAAAAUAGUGGAAAUAGAAUUAGAAGUUGAGUGAGAUAUGAAAUUAAAGCUGAAAGAGUCUAUUUUCAUAUAAAAGAAGUUGAGUAAGCAAAAGAAUUAUAUACUUUUAGAUAUUUGAAUUUUAGUGAAACAGGGCAAGAAUGUUUUUGAAGUCCCCUGUUCUGACUUUAGAAAUUCAUUAAAAAUUGUACAGAAGGAAUUAUGAGUUAUAAUUUAUAUGUAUAGAUUCCUUAAUGAGUCUAUUUUCAGUAUAAAUAAGUUUAAUCACCAUAUGAAGCCUUUAAUAAGAGAUAAUUAAAUUUUAGUGAUGAGUGGUUAGGAUAGUCGAUUAGUGAAACAGGGGAGACUUCAACUAAUAAACUAUACUAAUUGGCUAAAUAAAAAAUUCUGAAAAAUUUAUGGUGAAUAGAUAUAUGAGUCUAGUUUUAUGGAAAAUUUACGGAUCUAAAUUUUGAGUUUCGUAGCUUGAAUUAUAAUUAUUUUAGUGACUGCUGUACAGGUGGACUGCUUUAUUAUGAAUGAUGAAAUUAAAUUUGAAAGUAAAUUUUUAUGCCCCGAACUUUUAAGUUAAGUCAAGUAACGCCUCAUGCUCGACUCCGGCAACGGUAUUGGGUAAGGGGUGUUACAUUUUAGUGGUAUCAGAGCCCGGUUUAGCCGGUCCUCGGAAUAUGUGUGAAGUGUAAAGUGUUUAGAAAUACAUGCCAUAUAAAUCUGUGAUAGUGUGAUGUGUAUGAUCCGAUCUAAUCUUUGUUAUUUUUAUAGAUACUCUCCGAUUAUAAAGAUGUCAAAUUUACCUGAACGUACUGAUCAAGAAGAAGUUAACAGUAGAGCACAGAAUUCUGAACAAAGAGCAAGCAGUGAUGUUUCGAUUUCCCAAAUGCGAGAGCAUGAAUUAAAGAAUAUGAUUUAUGGGAUUAUGAAUCAGUGGUAUACUGAAAUGAGGCAAGAAAGAAAUCAAGCUGAACCACCUCCUCCCCCUAUUGCUCCAUCGAUGGUACCCCCGGUUGCUCUUCCACCUCCUACAACGACUGAAUCUAGUAAGCGUUCUCCAUUGGAAAGGCUUAGAAAACUUGGAGCCGAAGAAUUUCGGGGAAGGACUGAUGAUGAUCCCGUCAAAGCUGAAUAUUGGUUACAGAGUUUGAUAAGAAAUUUUAAAGAAAUGGCUUGCUCACCAGAUGACUAUUUGAGAUGUGCUGUGUCUCUGUUGAAAGAAGAAGCUUAUAGUUGGUGGGAGACGAUCGAGGCUGUGGUUCCGGCAGAGAAAAUUUCUUGGGAAUUUUUCCAAAAUGAAUUUAAGAAGAAAUAUGUGGGCAGACGGUAUUUGGAUAAAAAGAAAAGGGAAUUUCUCGACCUACGACAGGGAAAUAAAUCAGUAGCUGAAUAUGAAAGAGAAUUUGUCUACCUCAGCAAAUAUGCCCGAGACAUUGUACCUACUGAAGAAGAAAUGUGUAUCCGGUUUGAAGAAGGGUUAAAUGAUGAAAUUAGAAUGAUGAUUGGGGGUAAUGAAAUACGAGAGUUCGUUGUUCUGUCAGACCGUGCUCAAAAGCUUGAAGAAGUAUACAACAGAAAAAUGCAGCGGGAUCGAAAAAGUAAAGAGCCAUUCAAAAGAGGUGCUUCUAAGUCAUUUUCAGAUUUUCCGGUGAAGAAAUCUAGAGAAGAAAUUAAUCGAACUACAUCAGUGUCGGGGAGAUCGGGCAGAGAUAGACCAAGACAAUCUGAUUUCAGGGUAUUCGAUAGACCUGUAGCAAGUGUGAGCAGUGUUCAGAAUGCUUCACGACCUAAGUGUCAAUAUUGUGGAAGAUAUCAUUUCGGAGAAUGCAGGACUAAGAUGGGGGCUUGUUAUAAAUGUGGGGCUACUGAUCAUCUUAUUCGAGAUUGUCCCCGGCUGCAAAAAGAUGAAGUGGAACAGAAAGAGAUACAGAGAACCAUUCCUCAAAGAAGUAGACGUUCGGGCCAGAGCAGUGCUACAGGGACUACCCGUUCGGGUACGAGGGAAUCAGUUGGUCGAUCAGAGAAUAGAGCACCAGCACGUACCUACGCCAUUCGAGCAAGGGAAGAAGCUACGGCUCCUGAUGUAAUUGCUGGUACUUUCUAUCUUUAUGAUGUUAUUGUUUAUGCAUUGAUAGACCCUGGAUCUACUCAUUCAUAUAUUUGCACUAUGUUAGCAUCUGAAAUGAAUUUAUUUGUUGAGUCCACUGAAUUUGAUAUACAAGUUACAAAUUCAUUAGGUCAUAGUGUGAUGGUUAAUUUAAUAUGUCGUAAUUGUCCACUGAAAGUGAAAGGCUAUGAAUUCCCCGCUGAUUUGAUGUUGUUACCCUUUCGGGAAUUUGACAUUAUUCUGGGGAUGGACUGGUUAAUGAGGCACGAUGCGGUGGUGAAUUGUCGUGAUAAGCAAAUCAGUUUGAAAUGUCAAACAGGAGAUGUAAUCUCAGUUGGGUCAGAAAAUAUGGGCGAUACAGUCAGAAUUAUUUCAGCUCUCUCUGCUCAGAGAUUAUUACGCAAAGGCAAUGAAGCAUUCUUGGCCUAUAUCCUUGAUACUCGGGGUUCUGAUUUAAAGCUCGAACAAGUGCCAGUGGUGAAUGAAUUUCCUGAUGUGUUCCCUGAAGAGUUACCCGGUCUACCACCUGAUAGAGAAGUUGAAUUUGUAAUUGAUGUGAUCCCCGGAACAACUCCUAUAUCAAUGACACCGUACAGAAUGGCUCCAGCGGAAUUAAAAGAGUUGAAGGCGCAGUUGCAGGAGUUAUUAGAUAAAGGGUUCAUCAGACCGAGUAUGUCGCCCUGGGGUGCACCUGUCUUGUUUGUGAAAAAGAAGGACGGUUCUUUAAGACUGUGUAUAGAUUACAGGCAGUUGAAUAAGGUAACGGUAAAGAAUAAAUAUCCUUUGCCUCGUAUUGAUGAUCUGUUUGAUCAGUUGAAAGGUGCUGCAGUAUUUUCCAAGAUAGACCUUCGAUCUGGGUAUUAUCAGUUGAAAGUUAAAGAGUGUGAUGUGCCAAAAACUACCUUCCGAACUCGAUAUGGUCAUUAUGAAUUUUUGGUGGUGCCAUUUGGUUUAACCAAUGCUCCUGCUACUUUUAUGGAUUUGAUGAAUAGAAUUUUUCAGUCAUAUUUGGAUAGAUUUGUGGUUGUGUUCAUUGACGAUGUAUUGAUUUAUUCAAAGACAGAGUCCGAACAUGCACAACAUCUAAGGAUUGUAUUACAGACUUUGCGGGAGAAACAGUUAUAUGCGAAAUUCAGCAAAUGUGAAUUUUGGCUUCAGGAAGUUGCGUUUUUGGGUCAUAUAGUAUCAGCUGAUGGAAUAAGAGUGGAUCCAAGUAAGAUAGCGGCAGUGGUAAAUUGGAAAGUUCCAAAGAAUGUUACUGAAGUACGGAGCUUUCUAGGAUUGGCAGGUUAUUAUCGCCGAUUUGUCAAAGAUUUCUCAAUGAUUACCUUACCGUUGACUCGAUUACUACAAAAGAAUGUUGAAUUUAUAUGGUCAGACGAAUGUCAUCAGAGUUUCGAUCAGUUGAAAAAGAUGUUGACAGAGGCUCCAGUGUUGACUCAACCAGAAUCGGGCGUACCGUUUGUAGUAUAUGGUGAUGCGUCUCUGAGUGGUUUGGGUUGUGUACUUAUGCAGUCAGGAAAAGUGGUGGCAUAUGCUUCCCGACAACUGAAACCGCACGAGAAGAAUUAUCCUACACAUGAUUUGGAAUUGGCAGCGAUCGUGUUUGCUUUGAAAAUAUGGAGACACUACUUAUAUGGUGAGAAAUGUUACGUGUAUACUGAUCAUAAAAGCUUGAAGUAUUUAAUGACUCAGAAAGAGUUAAAUUUGAGACAGAGACGAUGGUUAGAGUUGCUGAAAGAUUAUGAUCUUGUCAUUGACUAUCACCCAGGGAAAGCAAAUGUCGUAGCAGAUGCACUUAGUCGGAAAUCAUCAUUAUUUGCAUUACGGACAUUGAGUGCUCAUUUAUCUAUUAAUGAGGAUGGUUCUAUACUAGCGGAAAGCUAAACCUGUGUUCUUUCAACGGAUUCGGGAAUUACAAGAUGAAGACCCAAAAUUGAUGCUAAAACGACAGAUGGUUCAAAAUGAGUUAAGCUCAGAAUACUCCAUUGAUGAAAAUGGUAUGUUAUAUUAUCGUAAUAGAAUAUGUGUUCCAAAUAAUUUAGACUUGAAAAAUGAUAUUUUAUCAGAGGCUCACAGUAGUAUGUGUUCUAUUCACCCGGGGAGUACAAAAAUGUAUUGUGAUUUGAAGAAAAUGUAUUGGUGGCCUGGAAUGAAACGAGAAAUCUGUGAAUAUGUAGUAAGAUGUUUGAUUUGUCAACAGGUGAAAGCUGAGUAUCAAGUGCCGACAGGGUUGUUACAGCCCAUUAAGAUUCCAGAGUGGAAAUGGGAACAUGUCACGAUGGAUUUUGUAUCUGGAUUACCAGUAACUCCGAAGAAGAAAGAUUCGAUAUGGGUGAUUGUUGAUCGGUUAACUAAGUCGGCACAUUUUAUUCCAGUCAGAACAGAUUAUCAGCUUGAAAAGUUAGCAGAGUUAUAUGUGUCUGAGAUAGUGAGGUUACAUGGGGUACCGAUAUCUAUUAUUUCGGAUCGAGAUCCGAGAUUUACCUCGAGAUUUUGGAGUAAAUUACAGGAGGCUCUGGGCACCAAAUUAAAUUUCAGCACAGCUUUUCAUCCCCAGACAGAUGGGCAGUCAGAGCGAGUGAUUCAGAUUUUAGAAGAUAUGUUAAGGUGUUGUAUACUUGAGUUCGGCGGCAGCUGGGAAAGGUAUUUACCUUUAGCCGAAUUUGCUUAUAAUAAUAGUUAUCAAACUAGUAUUAAAAUGGCACCGUUUGAAGCUCUGUAUGGAAGAAAGUGUAGAACUCCAUUAUAUUGGACUGAAUUAAGUGAAUCGAAACUGGUGGGAGUGGACUUGAUUCGGGAAACUGAAGAAAAAGUUCGUAUUAUUUGAGAUUGUUUAAAAGCUGCCUCCGAUCGGCAAAAAUCAUAUGCAGAUUUGAAGAGAAGGGAUAUAGAGUUUAGUGUGGGUGAUCGUGUAUUUUUGAAAGUGUCACCGUGGAAGAAAGUUUUGCGGUUCGGCAGAAAGGGAAAACUCAGCCCACGAUUUAUCGGGCCGUAUGAAAUCAUUGAAAGAAUCGGUCCGGUAGCUUAUAGAUUGGCUUUGCCCCGGGAACUUGAAAAUAUUCAUAAUGUGUUUCAUGUGUCUAUGUUGAGACGGUAUAGAUCAGAUCCAUCACAUGUAAUUCCUCAUACGGAAAUAGAGCUCCAACCUGACAUGACUUAUUCAGAGGAACCGGUGAAAAUUUUAGCUCGGGAAGUUAAAGAGUUGAGGAAUAAACGUGUACCACUAGUUAAGGUGCUAUGGAAUCGACAUGGAUCUGAGGAGGCAACCUGGGAAACGGAGGAAUUGAUGAGAUUUCAGUAUCCGAAUUUAUUUCCAGGUACGAAAUUUCGGGGACGAAAUUUCCUAAAAGGGGGGGAGAGUUGUAAUAGCCUGAAUUUUUAGUGGUGUCGGAAUGGUGAUUCGAGAUCACUAAAUCUGACAAACGAGUAGAAAAUAUUAUAAAUUUAGUAAGUAUAAGUUAAAUGUGAAGUUAGGAAAAUUUUUUAAAUAGUGAAUAGUGUACUAGGAAUAAAUAUUAAAAUAAUUAAAAUAAUUAAAAUAAAAAAAACGAGGUAUCGAGACCUCGAAGAUUUUAAACCGAGCCAUAAAUAUUUUUAGAAAUAUUUAUAGAGUGUCAUUGAGUUGGUAUUAAAGUUUCGUUAGAAAAUUUUAACGUUUGGAUAGUUAAUUAACUAAAAAGGACUAAAUUGGGAAUAGUGUAAAAUUUGUUAAAUUGUGAUUAAAUAGCUUAAGUGACUAAAGUGGAGGGAUUUAAAAGGCUAUUAGGCCCAAAUUAUAUGGGCUGGACGGUUGGGUAAGAAAAAUCAGCAGAAUGUAAGGAGAAACAGGGGCAAAAUUGGAAACUUAACAAAUUAAACAUUUAAAACAAAGACAAAAGUGAAAAAUCUAGAGAUCUCUUCACAAUUUAUCAGCAAAAACGCCAUAGGAGGUCUGGAAUAAGCUGGUUUUUCAUAUUUUUGAAUCAUGUAAGUUUAAUUCUUGAUUAUUUCUUCUAAUUUUUGUGAUUUUGAUACUUUUACAAUUAGGUCCAACUAAUUAUUUCAUUAGUUUUUGAUUCCAUGGCUGAUUUUGAAAGUUACCAUUGAUGAGUGUUGGAUUUUUAUGAUGAAUAAACAUGGAAUUGAAGCUUUAAUUUUGUUAUAUGAUGAUUUUAUUAAGUAAUUUUGAUAGAAAUUGAUUUUAGGGACCUAAUUGUGAAAAAGUUGGGAAUUAAGGUUUGGUGUUGCGGUUUUGAGUAUGAAAGGCUAUGUAGUAGUCUAAAAUAGUUGGAAAAGGUGUUAAUUGAGAAAAAUUAGAUCAAUUGAGGGGUUAAUUGAGUAGGGAUCAAAUUGUAAAAACUGUAAAGUUUGGGGUAAAAGUGUAACUUCGAAAAUUAAAGGGCAUAAAUUGUGAAAUGAAUUAGAAUUGAAUUAAAUGCUGAUGAAUGAAUAAAUUUGCAUUUUAGAUCGAGAACCCGAAAUAAGUCGAGGAAAAGAAAAAGUAGCCGAUUAGUCCCUGAACUUUUACAAAUUCUGCAAAUCGAUCCAGGUAAGUUCAUAUGGCUGAAAUUUAAUGAUUAAAUGUUAAUUUCAUGAAUUAUACAAUGUAUGGUGAAAUGUAUUUAUUGUUGAAAUGAGAAUAAAAUAAAAAUGUGAAAAUCGAAUAAAUGAUCAAAUUAAGUGGAACGUCGAAUUGGAGUACUUCUGAUCAAGUGACAAAGUGAUAAGUGGUAGUUUUAGCUACACUUAUCUGAUCAAGAAACAAAGUGAUAAGUGGUUACACUUAUCUGAUCAAGAAACAAAGUGAUAAGUGGUUACACUUAUCUGAUCAAGAAACAAAGUGAUAAGUGGCUACACUUAUCUGAUCAAGUGGUAAAGUGAUAAGUGGUAGCCUAGCUACACUUAUCUGAUCAAGGACAAGUGAUAAGAGGUCAUAUGGCAAAGUGAAAGUGAAGUACUCAAAUUUCCAUAACCGUUCCUUAAUUUUGAUCAAGAAUGGUAAGUGACAAAUGGGCCCAAAGGAAUUAUGGUAAAAGAAUAAGUAGUAGUGAGUUUAUACCAAGGAACUCACCAAAGAUUGUGGUUGACAGGUAAAUUUAGUAAUGGUGUAUAUUGUAUAAGUGUGCAAGUGUUUGGUAAGAUUUAUGUUUUAUGCCUAUGAACUUACUAAGCUUUUCUAUAAGCUUACAUGUGUGUGUUUAUUGUUUUUGUAGAUUAACGUAUUUAUACAUUCGGAGGAUCGGAUCUACAUCAAGAAUCACACUAUCCAGAUAUACUCCGGUAGUUUAUGUUAAGCAACUUUUUUGAUUUAUAUGGCAUGUAUAGGGAAUUGAAGUAAAAGUAAAUUUGAAUGUUAUGGUUGCGUUAGAUAUCGAAAUAUAUACAUGUUUUUAGUUUGAAAUGGUUGAUUGGUUGAACUUAAUUAGUAUUUAAAUGAAGUAAAUGAAAUACUGGAAUUGGUUGUGAUUUGAAAUUCGCAGGGAAGGUUAGACAAUUAUAAAUGAGUUAUAUUGAAUUUUUUUUAAAAAAAUUGCAAUGGAGCAGUUCUUGGACAGCAGCAUUGAUGUAACUUUUAAAAAUCACCAAAAAUAGUGGAAAUAGAAUUAGAAGUUGAUGAGAUAUGAAAUUAAAGCUGAAAGAGUCUACUUUCAUAUAAAAGAAGUUGAGUAAGCAAAAGAAUUAUAUACUUUUAGAUAUUUGAAUUUUAGUGAAACAGGGCAAGAAUGUUUUUGAAGUCCCCUGUUCUGACUUUAGAAAUUCAUUAAAAAUUGUACAGAAGGAAUUAUGAGUUAUAAUUUAUAUGUAUAGAUUCCUUAAUGAGUCUAUUUUCAGUAGAAAUAAGUUUAAUCACCAUAUGAAGCCUUUAAUAAGAGAUAAUUAAAUUUUAGUGAUGAGUGGUUAGGAUAGUCGAUUAGUGAAACAGGGGAGACUUCAACUAAUAAACUGUACUAAUUGGCUAAAGCAAAAAUUCUGAAAAAUUUAUGGUGAAUAGAUAUAUGAGUCUAGUUUUAUGGAAAAUUUACGGAUCUAAAUUUCGAGUUUCGUAGAUUGAAUUAUAAUUAUUUUAGUGACUGCUGUACAGGUGGACUGCUUUAUUAUGAAUGAUGAAAUUAAAUUUGAAAGUAAAUUUUUAUGCCCCGAACUUUUAAGUUAAGUCAAGUAACGCCUCAUGCUCGACUCCGGCAACGGUAUUGGGUAAGGGGUGUUACACUUGCGGUGCUGAACUGAACUUGGGGCUAGGGUUUGGGAAGUUUAGGAUGCUAGGUGGGCUAGGUUUUGGACUAUUGGGCCUGAACGGCCCAUUUUUUGUCUUGUAAAUAGUAUGGGCCAAUUGGGCCUUAUUACAAUGUUUAUUAUUGAUGUGAAUAUGAUUGAAUGUUCAUUAUAUGAAAAUUGAUGAAACAUUGAUAUAUUUGAUAAAAAGGGGAAGAAAUCCCGGUUGAAUGGAAGGAAAAUUCGAUGGACUCUGAAAAGGAAUUGAAGGUAAAAAUGAUCUAGCUCGGACGGGUGAUCCUAUCCUGAUAUAGCCCUCCCGAAGAAUAUGUGGAAAAUGGAUUUAGCCCGGACGGGUAAUCUAAAUUAGGGUCUGAAUUUAGCCUGGACUGGUAAUUCAGAUCCAAGCUCAUUAGAGUAAUUGUCGUUGCAGGGGAUUUAGCCUGGACUGGUAAUCCCGGCAAUACUUUAUAAGUUUAUAUUACAGGGGAUUUAGCCUGGACUGGUAAUCCCGCUGUAAGGAUGAGGUUCGCGGGAGUGUGCUCUCUGAAAUGGAAAUGUGCGCACAUGAUAUGAAUUGACGAACCCGAAUUUGUACACUAAAGUGUACCUCUGAAAAUCUAUCGAAAUUUCGAGAAAUUCAACGGGAUAAAUAUGAAAAAAAAAUAACAAGGAAAUGGAAAUCAUGGAAUUGAUGAGCUCAUCAAUCAUGGUAUAUAUAUUAUUGAUACAUGAAAAUUAUUGGACUAAUUUGAAUGUUGAGUUUGUGCAUGAUAGGGGAAUAUCGUAUUGUAUGGAUGUAUGAAUGUUUAUUGCAUUGUAUUGAAAAUAUUAGGUAAGUAUAAUUCUUGUUACAUGAGCUUACUAAGUACAAAGCGAUUAUCCUGUUUUCUUUUCCUCUGUUUUGUAGUGUUAAGAGCUCAGAGGUCGGAUUUGGUCGGAGACGCAUCACACUAUCAACCUCAAGAUCUCGGUAUAUAAAGAAACUUUAUUUUGGAAAUCAAUGGCAUGUAUAAGCUAGUAAAGUAUAUGUUAAUGUGAAAUGAAUGUAUAGUUAGCCAUUGGUAUGGCUAACAAAUUUUGGUUUUGGUAUGUGAUGAUAUUAUCUUAUGAGUACGAUAAAUCUAUCUUGAAAAUAUAUUGAUUUUAAAAAAAAUUCAGUAAAAUCUGGUAAUACCUCGUAUCCUAUUCCGGCGACGGAUACGAGUAGGGAGUAUUACAAGUAUUCUUAUUUAAUGUAGUGGAGAUAAAAUACGCUGAGGAUGCUAAUAUGUUGUUAGGUGUUAGUCCAAGGAGAGGAUUUUUUUUAAUUAAAUCAACUAUAUUAUAAAAUCUUGUAGAAGUAAGAAAUUAUAAGAAAAUAUAUAAAGGAAUAUUUAUAGAAUUAAAACCUAUUUUAUAGAAUAUAACUAAAAAUAUAAAAUUAAUAUAAAAGUAUUUUAGUAAAUAUAUCGAGUUGGGCAAAUUUCACCUAAGCCUAAUCUUGCCCUGACCACAAAAAUCUUGUGUUUUAAAGCCUACCUCGAAUUUUUUUUAAAGCCUUUUAACAAGUCAGGACAGAUCAAAAUUUGUUGGAUUCAAUUUUUAAUAGAUUAAAUAAUUAAUAAUUUUGUUUAUUGUUUUUAAUAUUUAAGAUAAAAGGAGAUUAGGGUAAACUACAUAAUUGGUGAUUUAACUUUCAUAAAUUUUUAUUUUGGGCAUCAAAAUAAAAAAAAUUGCAAAAGAGGACUGUUGUUAACAACUUUCAUUUUGGUUACCCGCCAUUAGACCUGUCCAUGGGCCAGGCGGCUCGGCCCGGUCUGACGGCCCGCCGGAAAUAUGGGAGGGUUCGGGUAAAAAUAUAGGCCUGAAAUAUGGGCUUGGGCAAAAAAAAGAGGCCCGUUUAAAAAACGGGUCGGGCCUCGGGCACAACUUUUUGGCCCAAGCCCGGCCCGGCCCGAAUAUAAUAAAUAUAUUUUUUAAUUUUAAAAGACUUUUAAAAUAUUUUUAUUUUAUUUUUUUAUUUUUAAAAUAAUUUUUUAAUGUUUAUUAAAAAAAUGGGCCGGGCCGGGUUCGGGCUUAUAAUAUUUUUCCCGGGCCGGGCAUGGGCAAAAUUUUAGGCCCAUAUUUCGGGCAGGGCCAGGGCCUAGGAGGCGGGCCAAAAAAUUUUUCUGGGCCCGGCCCAAACUCGGCCCAUUGACAGGUCUACUCGCCAUUAAUUUAGGAUUAAAAAAUAUUAUUAUACACUCAUUUUAGUCACUUAAUUGUGGUAGUUUUCAUUUUAGUUAAUUGUUUCAUUUUUUUAGAAUUAACUCUAAUAAAGGGGAAAUAAAAUAAAUUAAAAAGAUAAAUUUGCUUUUCCUUUAAAAACUUAACUCCAAUAUUUUGCUUACUGAAAAAAAAAACUAAAGUAAUGUUUUUUUUUUUAAAAGUAAAAUAUUAUCUCUCUAAAAAAAUCCAGAUUUACCCUUUACUGAAAUAAACCAAAAUUAAUUAUAAAAAGGAAAAAGAUAAGAUAAAAUAGGUUAUUAAAAUGAAAAAUUAGUAAAAUUAAUUGACUAAAAAUAAGUGUAAAAUAAUAUUACCUAAUCUUAAAUUAACGAUACAUGAUCAAAAUAAAAAUAACUAUUAACGAGAGUACCCUUAUUACAAAUUUUUUAUUUUCCAUGUACAAACUAAAAGCUUACAAUUUUUCAUGAACAACAAUAUGGUUUACCUUUACCAAAUAAUUUUAGAAAGUGCUAACAGCUCUAAUAUGUCACCUUUUGGCAUUUGAAGAAUUAAGAGGACAUGGUAUCCAACUGUCCCUGGAACCAGCAGAGGAUAAGCUUUAUUUUAUCCAAUUGAAGACCACCAGUGCUCAACUUCAGCUUGAGAUAUCAUAUAUAUUUUCUGGAGAAAAGUAACAUUCUAACAUUUCUUUUCUCUAAUUUUUAUGAAUUUCAUCUUUAAAUUUGUUAUCCACAGUUUUUAAAUUUAAAUUUUCUUAAAUAAUUUAUUUUUUAAGACCAUUAAUAUAAGGGCAUUGUUAUUUUGAAAAAUAUAUAAAUUUUUUAAAAAAAUAUUAGAAACUCUAUAACAUACGUGUAUAUGUGAAAACUACACAUUUAAAACAUAAAUGUGUGUUUGAAAAUAAUAUACAAUAAAUAAUAAAACGUAUGGUUUGAAAUAAAUUUAAUAAUAACACAUGAAAUAUAUUAUUAUUAAUAGUAUAAAUAUAUGAUUGAUGAAUGUAAUAAAAUGUAUAUAUUAAAACAGAAAUGUAUAAAAACUAUUAAAAUAAAAGUUUAGUUGAUUGGUAAGUUUAAAGUUUUAUUAAUCCAAUUGGCAUAUGUUCUAAUCCCACUAUUUAAAUUUUUAAGGUUUUUGUUAAAAUAAAAAAAACUAAAAUACUUUUGAAUAAUAUAAUUUAUUUUAAUUAUGGAAUGACAUUUUCGUAAUUUCUCUCACCAAGUUAAUGACCCGGCUGAAGGUAACACUAAUUUAAUGUAACACUUAAUAAAUAAUAUAGAUAAAAAAAUGCUAAAAAUGUGCGUCCGCAAUGAAUAUUGAGAGGGGCGAACAAAUGUAAAGUUGUAGUUAUAGCCCCUUAAAGAUAAUUACAUUAUAAAUUAAUAAAGGGUAAAAUUAUACUUUGACCCCAAAAAAUUUAAAAAAUGUAUUUAGUCCCUUCAAAAAAAUGAAAUCAUAAUUUAAUACAUAAUAAAAUCCAUAUUUUGACAUCUCAAGAUUUUAUAAUUUAAUUUUGACCCCCUAAAAAGAAUUUUGAAUUUAUCCCUAAAUAUCGACAUACAAGAACACAUAAUUCAUGUGAAUCUAAAUAUCCACUCAUCCAUAUUCAUUAUCCACAUAAUUUUUUAAUAAUUUUAUAUUUUUAUAAUUUCACAUAAUAAAUUCUCAAUUUUAGUUUUUUUGUUUUUUUGAAUUUUGAUGAAAUGAACUUGGACAUGACUUUGUUAAAAUUCGUUCUCAACAUGCAGUUUUUUUUUAAAAAAAUAUGUUUUUUUUCCACUUUAAAAAAAUAAUUUAAAAAUCUCAAAUUUUAUAUUUUUAUAAAUGAUCUAAGUUUAUAUAUUUUUGAAAAUUUUUCAGGUUUUUAAAUUUUUAUAAAUUUCUAAAUUUAUAUAUAUUUGAAAUAUUUUAGGUUUUUCUUUAUAAAUUUCAAUACUUUUUAUAUUUUAAAAAAUUCAUUUAGUGGUAUCACACUUACUCAAAGUAUCCUACAUGAGUUAGUAGGAUUUUUGUUUUCCCUAGUAUAAAAAUUUGAGUUAUUUGGUAAUAAAGUUGUCGUGAUUUAAGGGAUAAACUUUUGACUAUUCAUCUUUAUAAUAAAAGGAUAAUCUUUCACAAGUUGACCAAUUGAUCAUGGAUUGUUUAUUUAUAGGGACUAUCAUUUGAAAAUCAUUUAAACCUUCGAGAGAGGAGUUUUUACACAGAUGACAGAAGAGAGAGUUUUAGUGCAAGCGAAUUUUGAAAGUAUAAUAUAUUAUUACUAAUUAGACUUCGAAACAUUAAAGUUUAUUGGCUUUGAUUAAAAAUAACAAUGUUAUAACUGGAAUAAGUUACACGGGACAUGUUUCCAGGAAUGGUACUCUUGAGCAACUACAAAAUGGAUAAUUUGGGUCAUUUUGCAUCUUUUGAAGAGAAACAGCUAGUUUGAAAGUAUAUCCUUAAGAUUGUCAAAAGAAGAAAAUCCUUAAGUGGCUGUAAAUAACUUAAGAUCGAAUCCAGAGACAACUUUUGGUUUGUCGGGGUUAGCGCUCACUUGGAGAAAAAAUCCUGUGUGCAGGUUUGGGUUUUUGAAAUUGGAGAGUCAUACCUUUCUUGGUUAGUACUUAUCAUUUGUACAACGAUAGGUAAAAGAUAUUUUUAAAAUAUUUUAAUGGAUAUUGAAACGGUACAAGAAUUAAGAAAACUAGAUUCCUUAUCAGAGUGAAAAAUACUUUUAAAAAUAGUUAUAUUUUUCGAAUGAUUAUUUUUAAUAUAAAUUAUUAUUUUAGUGGGUAACUUUUUUAAAAGAGUAAAAUAUAAAUGUAUCUUAGUUUAAUAAGUCUAUUAUAAGUAAAUUGUAGUAUUCGAAUUGAUGCUACUGAUAUUAAGCUCAAUUAAUUGAUGAUUAUAUUCAUAAUUUAUUUUCAAAUAAAUUACAUUGUCUCUCAACUAAGAAAGUGGGCAAAAAAAACUCAGAUUUCAUUACUUUUUGAGCAAGUCUUUCUACUAUGGAGAGUGUGAGGAUAUAGAUCAUCUCUUCCAAGAAUGCAAUUUUGCAAGAGCGGUGUGAUUCGGUUCCUCUACAGGAAUCCAAACAUGUUGUCAAAACACUAACUCAAUUCACAAAUGAAUUUGUGCGAUCCUAAAGCAAACGAGUUAAUGAAUGGCAAGCAAUUGAGAGACAUUCACAAGUUUUGUCAUUAUCUUAUGAAGCUUUAAGAUCUUGUUUGAAGGAAGCUACCCAAACUCGAUCACAGUCAUUAAAUUUGCCACUGAGCUAGCUCAUCCCACUAUCAUGGCAUACUCAAGCUGGAACACCCCAAAGGUAAAGAAAUAUAGAAAAUCCCUAGUCAUAGCAAACUCUGAACCAACCACAUACUAUUACAUUUUCCUCAAACGGGAAAGGAGGAAUUCAGAGGUGAGUGGGGUUAUCAUUAUUAAAACCCAUGAUCUUAGAACAUAGAACAUUGAGGGUUGUUCGUGAAAGUUCGUCAAAAUUUUAAUUAGAAACACAAAAUUACGUGCAAACUUUGUCACAUAAUUAAGAAACUGUAUAUAUUAGAGUUGUAUGACUCAAAUUUUAAGAAAUUGUUUACAAGUCAAGUUAAACAAAAUAUAUCUUAUUUCUAAAAGAUUUAGUAUUUAUGAGCAUAAUAUAUUUAACAUUUAUUAACAUAAUAUAUUUAACUUUAAUUAGAAUUAAGUUUUUUUAUCCUAUAAAUAGAUAUAGUCGAAAUUACUCUUAAAAUCAUUCGAAUUCGACAUAAUGAUAAUAAAGUAAUAAUAAAAUUUUAUAGAAUAAAGUGAGGCCCCACUCUUUAUUGUAAAGGAGAAGAAUUAAUUAUCACAUGUCCACUAGUUAAGGAUUUGGAAAAAUAAUAAAUAGAAAUAGAAUUGAUAUCUCAACUAUACUAAAUUUAUGAUUUGCUAUUGACCCUAGCUGACCCAGUCAUUAAAAACAAGACCCCAGUCAUUAAAAACAAUACCCUCCCCGAAUUCAUUGAAACCAAAGUAUUUGAGUAACGUCGAUACAUUUUGUAAAGGAGAAGAAUUAAUUAUCACAUGUCCACUAGUUAAGGAUUUGGAAAAAUAAUAAAUAGAAAUAGAAUUGAUAUCUCAACUAUACUAAAUUUAUGAUUUGCUAUUGACCCUAGCUGACCCAGUCAUUAAAAACAAGACCCCAGUCAUUAAAAACAAUACCCUCCCCGAAUUCAUUGAAACCAAAGUAUUUGAGUAACGUCGAUACAUUUUGUAAAGGAGAAGAAUUAAUUAUCACAUGUCCACUAGUUAAGGAUUUGGAAAAAUAAUAAAUAGAAAUAGAAUUGAUAUCUCAACUAUACUAAAUUUAUGAUUUGCUAUUGACCCUAGCUGACCCAGUCAUUAAAAACAAGACCCCAGUCAUUAAAAACAAUACCCUCCCCGAAUUCAUUGAAACCAAAGUAUUUGAGUAACGUCGAUACAUUUUGUAAAGGAGAAGAAUUAAUUAUCACAUGUCCACUAGUUAAGGAUUUGGAAAAAUAAUAAAUAGAAAUAGAAUUGAUAUCUCAACUAUACUAAAUUUAUGAUUUGCUAUUGACCCUAGCUGACCCAGUCAUUAAAAACAAGACCCCAGUCAUUAAAAACAAUACCCUCCCCGAAUUCAUUGAAACCAAAGUAUUUGAGUAACGUCGAUACAUUUUGUAAAGGAGAAGAAUUAAUUAUCACAUGUCCACUAGUUAAGGAUUUGGAAAAAUAAUAAAUAGAAAUAGAAUUGAUAUCUCAACUAUACUAAAUUUAUGAUUUGCCAUUGACCCUAGCUGACCCAGUCAUUAAAAACAAGACCCCAGUCAUUAAAAACAAUACCCCCAGUCAUUGAAAACAAUACCCUGCCCGAAUUCAUUGAAACCAGAGUAUUUUGUAACGUCAAUUUUAAAUUAAGAUUCUCGAAGAUCUGAGAGGAGUCAACAAAAUUAUUAAUAAAUUUUUUUUGUCAUAUCUCACAUGAUCCUAUUUAAUAAUAUAAUUUCACGUGAAAGGUUUUUUCAUGUUACUUUCUUUUCUCUUUUAAUUAUUCAUUCUUGCAAUUUGUUUUUUUUCCUCAAUUCUUUAACUAACCGUUGAAGGCAUCAUUUCUAAUUCUUCAAUAAUGUUUAUAUACAUUGAAACUAUUUCGAAUAUCAUUAUUGUAGUUUAAAUUAGAAUGUUUUAGAAUUAAUUCUCAAUUUGAUAUAAAGCAUCAAAGGAUACUAAACUAUUUUUCAUUAAUGUUCUUUAGCGUAUACCCACAUGACCAGUUUUUCGUUAAGGCUGGUCUUGAAAAUAGAAACCCAUACAUUAUAAAGUGACCCACUUUAUAUAUGCUGCUUCAAGUUCUAUUGAAGUAGCAUAUUUUGGAUAUGCGGCGGUGGUCACAGAUGAAAGGAAACUGUUUUGGGAAGAAGGGGUAUUAUUAUUUAAUGUAGUGGAGAUAAAAUAAGCUGAGGAUGCUAAUAUAUUGUCAGGUGUUAGUCCAAGGAGAGGAUUUUUUUUUUAAAUUAAGUCAAAUAUAUUAUAAAAUCUUGUAGAAGUACGAAAUUAUAAGAAAAUAUAUAAAGGAAUAUUUAUAGAAUUAAAACAUAUGUUAUAAAAUAUAACUAAAAAUAGAAAUUUAAUAUAAAAGUAUUUUAGUAAAUAUAUCGAGUUGGGCAAAUUUCACCUAAGCCUAAUCUUGACCUGACCAAAAAAAUCUUGUGUUUUAAAGCCUACCUCGAAUUUUUUUAAAGCCUUUUAACAAGUCGGGAUAGAUCAAAAUUUGUUGGAUUCAAUUUUUAGUAGAUUAAAUAAUUAAUAAUUUUGUUUACUGUUUUUAAUAUUUAAGAUAAAAGGAGAUUAGGGAUAAACUACAUAAUUGGUCAUUUAACUUUCAUAAAUUUUUAUUUUAGGCAUCAAAAUAAAAAAAAAUUGCAAUAAGAGGACUGCCGUUACCAAAAACUUUCAUUUUGGUUAUCCGCCAUUAAUUUGGGAUUAAAAAAUAUUAUUAUACACUUAUUUUAGUCACUUAGUUUUGUUAGUUUUUAUUUUAGUUAAUUGUUUAUUUUUUAGAAUUAACUCUAAUAAAGGGGGAAAUAAAAUAAAUUAAAAAGAUAAAUUUGUUUUUCCUUUAAAAACUUAACUCCAAUAUUUUGCUUACUGAGAAAAAAAUUUAACUAAUGUUAAAAAAAAGUAAAAUAUUAUCUCUCUAAAAAAACCUAGAUUUCCCCUUUACUGAAAUAAAAUAAAAUUAAUUAUAAAAACGAAAAAAUAUAAGAUAAAAUAGGUUAUUAAAAUGAAAAAUUAUUAAAAUUAAAUGAUUAAAAUAAGUGUAAAAUAAUAUUACCUAAUCUUAAAUUAAAGAUACAUUAUCAAAAUAAAAAUAAUUAUUAACAAGAGUACCCUUAUUACAAAUUUUUUAUUUUCCAUGUAUUUUAGAAAGUGCCUAACAGCUCUAACAGCUCUAAAAUUAAGAGGACAUGGUGUCCAACUGUCCCUGGAACCAGCAGAGGAUAAGCUUUAUUUUAUCCAAUUGAAUACCACCAGUCCUCAACUUCAGCUUGAGAUCAUAUAUAUUUUCUGGAGAAAAGUAACAUUCUAACAUUUCUUUUCACUAACUUUUAUGAAUUUCUUUAAAUUUUUAUAAAUUUCUAAAUUUAUAUAUAUUUGAAAUAUUUUAAGUUUUUCUUUAUAAAUUUCAAUACUUUUUAUAUUUUAAAAAAUGCAUUUAGUGAUAUCACACUUACUCAAAGUAUCCUACAUGAGUUAGUGGGAUUUUUGUUUUCCUAGUAUAAAAAUUUGAGUUAUUUGGUAAUAAAAUUGUUGUGAUUUAAGGGAUAAACUUUUGACUAUUCAUCUUUAUAAUAAAAGGAUAAUCUUUCACAAGUUGACUAAUUGAUCAUGGAUUGUUUAUUUAUAGGGACUAUCAUUUAGAAAUCAUUUAACUCUUCGAGAGAGGAAUUUUUACAUAGAUGACAGAAAAGAGGGUUUUUAGUGCAAGCGAAUUUUGAAAGUAUGCACACAAAAGUGUACAACAUCAAGACCGUAGUAAUCAUAAAAGGUCGAGUAAUUUAAUAGUAAUCGGUGCUUGUACCGUUUACUUUACUAGGGUGUGAUCAACCAAGUGGCCUAAACAAUUUCUAUAUUUUUACAUUACAAUAAUAUCAAUCAACUUUGCUUUGAAUUUCAUGGAUGUUGAACAGAAGUUGAGGAGGAACCAGACCAUGCUGUUGAACUUGAAUAUAUUGAUGAUUGAGUAAUCGGGGUGAUUUCACUACUCUUCCGAGACUGCAUUUGGUUAAAUUGGUCUUUUAGUACUCCAAAUCUCGACUCAUCAGCAAAGAUACUUGGGUCCAUAAUUAAUUUAGGAACAAGGGCUCGACCUUCAAGCAUGUUUACUACUUCAGACAUGGUCGGUCUAAGUGCUGGGGAUGAAUUAGUGCACAAUAAAGCAACCUUUGCCAUCCUAAUUGCCUCUUCUUCAUUGAACUCCUUCCCCAACCUUGGAUCCACCAGCUCCAUUAAGUUUCCCUUUUGUUGCAAAACUAGAGCCUGAAAUACAUUGAUGACAUAAUCGAACUUCAACAUUAACUAAAUUAACAUGAGUAAGGCAUUAAUGACUUUGCAGAAGUUCAAUGCACCAAUCAGUUACAAUGCAUGGAUGUUUCUAUGAUGAUAUUCUCAUAUUAUAACUUGAAACAUGGAUUAUAUCUUACCCGAUCUUGAAGGCAUACAUAAUCGCCUUCUGGUCGAUAUUUUGUAUUGUUCUUCCCGGCAACAAUCUCUAAUGCGACAAUCCCGAAACUAUAAACAUCUGCCUUGUAGGUCAGAUAGCCCCAUAAUGCAUAUUCUGGGGCCAUGUAUCCUCUGCAAAAAUUGGAGCUUUAAGCACAACAUUCUCAUGCAUAUCAACUUUGUUCACCUUUCCAUAAGCAAGGUUGGAGGCUUUGAUCUCAUUUUUACUGCUUUAUAGUUUAAAUAUUGAUGCAUCAUUCAAUUUGCAGUACGUAAUAUUUUGUCUAUGAUGGUAGCAGCUUGACAAAUCUAUUGUUUUGUUUGAUUCAACUAAAACAUGCAAUGAUGAUCAGCAGAUGAAAACAGAGGGGAGGUCGCUCACAUAGUUCCAGCAAUUCUGGUGCUAAUAUGGGUGUUUUCCCCUUCAUCAAACUUGGCCAAACCGAAGUCGGAGAUCUUAGCAUUGAGAUUGCUAUC